UUAGAGAUUUCUUCUUAAAAGCUAAAUUCCGGGCCACGUGUGGUGGCUCACACCUAUAAUCCCAGCACUUUGGGAGGCUGAGGCAAGAAGAUCACUUGAGCCCAGGAGUUUGAGACCAGCCAGACCCAUUUCUGCAAAAAAUAAAAAAUUAGCCGGGCAUGCUGUCAUGUGCCUUCAGUCUCAGCUACUUGGGAGGCUGAGGCAGGAGGAUCACUUGAGCCCAGGAGCUCAAGGCUGCAGUGAGCUAUGAUUGCGCCACUGCACUGGGUGACAAGAGCGUGACUCUGUCUGGAAAAAAAAAAAGGAAUUCCUAAACAGGCUUGUUGACUUCGCAGACUGCUUUUGGCUUCUGGAUGCCCUCCUCCAGUACACAUCGUAUGGGGUGACACCGCCUAGCCUCAGUCACUCUGGGAACCGCCAGCGCCCUCCCAGUGGAGCAGGCUCAGUCACUCCAGAGAGGAUGGAAGGAAACCAUCUUCAUCGGUACUCCAAGGUUCUGGAGGCCCAUUUGGGAGACCCAAAACCUCGGCCUCUACCAGCCUGUCCACGCUUGUCUUGGGCCAAGCCACAGCCUUUAAACGAGACGGCGCCCAG
rnacentral:lncRNA from 1 species